CUUACUACACUAGGAAACCCUCGUUUCCUGUUCUGGGGCAGCAGCAACACAUAACCAGUGAUUAUUUUCCACUCUGUCAGCCUUGCCUCACAGUGCAGAGCUCUGAAGUGAGAAAGAGCAAGAUAUUUUCUGACUAGUAGAAGAACUCAAAGAUGUUCUCCAGUCUUCUGAAAGUGGUCGUGGCUUCAAUGUGGCUAGGAUCCAGUAUUUCCCAGAAAGUAACUCAAGCCAAACCAGCACUGUUAGUGCAGGAGAAGGAGGUUGUGACCCUGCACUGCAGCUAUGACACCAGUGACCCAACUUAUAGUCUAUUCUGGUACAAGCAGUCCAGCAGUGGAGCAAUGAUGUUUCUUAUUCGUCAGGAUUCUUAUAACCAGCAAAACGCCGCAGAAGGUCGCUACUUACUGAAUUUUCAGAAGGCAAACAAAUCCAUCAACCUUGUCAUCUCAGCUGCACAACUGGAGGACUCAGCAGUGUAUUUCUGUGCACUGAGUGAGCCCACAGUGAGAAAUGUGCUGGAGGGAGGUGUGCAAAAACCCCAGGGCUCUGCUUGAUACAUGCACCUGCUG